rnacentral:rRNA from 1 species
GUGUCAGCCGCCGCGGUAAUACGUAGGGGGCGAGCGUUGUCCGGAGUUACUGGGCGUAAAGGGCACGCAGGCGGUCGGACGCGUUUCGGGUGACAGCGGGUGGCUUAACCACGCGAGUGUUCGAAAGACGGUCUGACUUGAGGGCUCGAGAGGGACACGGAAUUCCGGGUGGAGUGGUGAAAUGCGUAGAGAUCCGGAGGAACACCGAAGGCGAAGGCAGUGUCCUGGCGAGUGACUGACGCUGAGGUGCGAAAGCUAGGGGAGCGAACGGGAUUAGAUACCCUUGUAGUCC